UCCCUGGUGGCUCAGAUGGUAAAGCAUCUGCCUGCAAUGUGGGAGACCCGGGUUCAAUUCCUGGGUCGGGAA
rnacentral:tRNA from 1 species